UUACGAACGCUGGCGGCACGCUUAACACAUGCAAGUCGAACGAGAGAAGAGAAGCUUGCUUUUCUGAUCUAGUGGCGGACGGGUGAGUAACACGUGAGCAAUCUGCCUUUCAGAGGGGGAUACCGAUUGGAAACGAUCGUUAAUACCGCAUAAUAUAAUUGAACCGCAUGAUUUGAUUAUCAAAGAUUUAUCGCUGAAAGAUGAGCUCGCGUCUGAUUAGCUAGUUGGUAAGGUAACGGCUUACCAAGGCGACGAUCAGUAGCCGGACUGAGAGGUUGAUCGGCCACAUUGGGACUGAGACACGGCCCAGACUCCUACGGGAGGCAGCAGUGGGGAAUAUUGCACAAUGGAGGAAACUCUGAUGCAGCGAUGCCGCGUGAGGGAAGAAGGUUUUAGGAUUGUAAACCUCUGUCUUCAGGGACGAAAAAAGACGGUACCUGAGGAGGAAGCUCCGGCUAACUACGUGCCAGCAGCCGCGGUAAUACGUAGGGAGCGAGCGUUGUCCGGAAUUACUGGGUGUAAAGGGAGCGUAGGCGGGAUCGCAAGUCAGAUGUGAAAACUAUGGGCUUAACCCAUAAACUGCAUUUGAAACUGUGGUUCUUGAGUGAAGUAGAGGUAAGCGGAAUUCCUAGUGUAGCGGUGAAAUGCGUAGAUAUUAGGAGGAACAUCGGUGGCGAAGGCGGCUUACUGGGCUUUAACUGACGCUGAGGCUCGAAAGCGUGGGGAGCAAACAGGAUUAGAUACCCUGGUAGUCCACGCCGUAAACGAUGAUUACUAGGUGUGGGGGGACUGACCCCUUCCGUGCCGCAGCAAACGCAAUAAGUAAUCCACCUGGGGAGUACGACCGCAAGGUUGAAACUCAAAGGAAUUGACGGGGGCCCGCACAAGCAGUGGAGUAUGUGGAUUAAUUCGAAGCAACGCGAAGAACCUUACCAGGUCUUGACAUCGUAUGCAUAGCUCAGAGAUGAGUGAAAUCUCUUCGGAGACAUAUAGACAGGUGGUGCAUGGUUGUCGUCAGCUCGUGUCGUGAGAUGUUGGGUUAAGUCCCGCAACGAGCGCAACCCUUACUGUUAGUUGCUACGCAAGAGCACUCUAGCAGGACUGCCGUUGACAAAACGGAGGAAGGUGGGGAUGACGUCAAAUCAUCAUGCCCCUUAUGACCUGGGCCUCACACGUACUACAAUGGCUGUCAACAGAGGGAUGCAAAGCCGCGAGGUGGAGCGAACCCCUAAAAGCAGUCUUAGUUCGGAUUGUAGGCUGCAACCCGCCUACAUGAAGUCGGAAUUGCUAGUAAUCGCAGAUCAGCAUGCUGCGGUGAAUACGUUCCCGGGCCUUGUACACACCGCCCGUCACGCCAUGGGAGUCGGUAACACCCGAAGCAAGUAGUCUAACCGCAAGGAGGACGCAGUCGA
rnacentral:rRNA from 1 species